rnacentral:misc_RNA from 1 species
GAUGAAGAACGCAGCGAAAUGCGAUACGUAAUGUGAAUUGCAAAUUCAGUGAAUCAUCGAGUCUUUGAACGCACAUUGCGCCCCCUGGUAUUCCGGGGGGCAUGCCUGUCCGAGCGUCAUUGCUGCCCUCAAGCACGGCUUGUGUGUUGGGCCCCGUCCUCCGAUCCCGGGGGACGGGCCCGAAAGGCAGCGGCGGCACCGCGUCCGGUCCUCGAGCGUAUGGGGCUUUGUCACCCGCUCUGUAGGCCCGGCCGGCGCUUGCAGAUCAACCCAAAUUUUUUAUCCAGGUUGACCUCGGAUCAGGUAGGGAUACCCGCUGAACUUAAGCAUAUCAAUAAGCGGAGGA